UACACUAAAACCCCACAUCGCUAUUGUACAAGGCUUGUUUUGUGUUUAUAGCUGACAGUCUUGAAUGAGCUAAUUGUCCCUUCGGGGACAUCCGAUAAAAUUGGAACGAUACAGAGAAGAUUAGCAUGGCCCCUGCGCAAGGAUGACACGCAUAAAUCGAGAAAUGGUCCAAAUUUUUUUCUUUCUGAUUUUUUUUUCUGUUUUUCUCACUCAAGCAAAUCAUCAAACACAUAGCCUGCAAUUCGUUUGAGGUGAUUUCCAGCUGUUUUACUUGUUUAUUUAGCUUUGCAUGAUGAUUUUGGCAGUGAAGAAUUCUUCUCGUUUUGCCUUCCUGCCGAUCAACUUUAACUUGGUGCUGCUGGAUCUACUAGUUAUCGACAAACUAGAAUUAGCUUUGAUUUUUUUGGUGCAACCUUCUGUUUUUAUCGGUCAGGCAUUACAUCAAACAGAUAUUGUGCGUUUCAUUUGAGUUGGAAAUAAGACGCAUCGAGCGAAGAGCUCCAAUGCGUGUAUUUCCGAGCUACGUAGGUGCCAUAGUUGUAGAAGCCGGACCGACUAGCGACAUGAAAAACUCUCUUCACUUACGAGGACGAGCACCAUGGAAAUACAUGCCUCAGCCAAAGGAAGAUGAUUGAGAGUCUCAGAGUUGGGGAAGGGUAAGAAGAAGGAACAAGAAAAGAGGAUGUUCCUUGAUUGUUUUCCCUUGUACAGCAGUGCGUUCUCGUGCAUGACUGUCCGCGGAAUAUUUUCUUAACAAGUUCGCAAUUAUCAUGACUGCUAGGAGGGAGCAUACUGCAGCUUGGUGAUGAUGACAUGUUUGUUCCCAAAACAGAGUCUUCUCCAUGCUUGUUAGAGACAGUCUCUAGUUGGUUGCUUAUAACUUGUAUUCUGUUGUAUGCAUUCUUAGAGGGACUGAGCAAUCUUGGCCAUAGUUCAUACAAAUUUGUACCUGCUGUAACAUAGGUUUUGUUGAUCAUAGUUCUGAGCUUCUUUAAAUUUGUGCUACAUCUUGUUUAUGGAUGCUAUGCUGUUCCGAGAGAUAAAAGGAAAAUUUGAUAAAAGUGUUCUUCUGGAGAGCAAAUCUCUUCAAGGAACUAUUGAUAUCUUUCCCAUGAACAUGAAAUCAGUUUUAUUUUGUUA